AGGAUUAACGCUGGCGGCGUGCCUAACACAUGCAAGUCGAACGAGGUAGCAAUACCUAGUGGCAGACGGGUGAGUAACGCGUGGUCAACCUACCGUUGAGUGGGGGAUAACUAGCCGAAAGGUUAGCUAAUACCGCAUACGAGUCUCGGGGGCAUCCCUGGGCCUUAAAAGGAGCAAUCCGCUCGAUGACGGGACCGCGUCCCAUUAGCUAGAUGGUGGGGUAACGGCCUACCAUGGCACCGAUGGGUAGCUGGUUUGAGAGAGCGACCAGCCACACUGGGACUGAGAAACGGCCCAGACUCCUACGGGAGGCAGCAGUGAGGAAUUUUCCGCAAUGGGCGAAAGCCUGACGGAGCGACGCCGCGUGUGGGAUGAAUGCCUUCGGGUUGUAAACCCCUUUCAGCAGGGACGAAGCGAAAGUGACGGUACCUGCAGAAGAAGCGCCGGCUAACUACGUGCCAGCAGCCGC
rnacentral:rRNA from 1 species